rnacentral:tRNA from 1 species
AGGGAUUUAGGUUAGAUCAGACCAAGGGCCUUCAAAGCCCUAAGCAAAUUACAUAGAUUUAAUCCCUG